rnacentral:rRNA from 1 species
UACGUAGGGAGCGAGCGUUGUCCGGAUUUACUGGGUGUAAAGGGCGUGUAGGCGGAGACGCAAGUCAGGAGUGAAAUCCCCGGGCUCAACCCGGGAACUGCUUUUGAAACUGCGUCCCUUGAGUAUCGGAGAGGCAGGCGGAAUUCCUAGUGUAGCGGUGAAAUGCGUAGAUAUUAGGAGGAACACCAGUGGCGAAGGCGGCCUGCUGGACGACAACUGACGCUGAGGCGCGAAAGCGUGGGGAGCAAACAGG